ACGGGUGAGUAACGCGUGAGGAACCUGCCUCAAAGAGGGGGACAACAGUUGGAAACGACUGCUAAUACCGCAUAAGCCCACAGCUCGGCAUCGAGCAGAGGGAAAAGGAGCAAUCCGCUUUGAGAUGGCCUCGCGUCCGAUUAGCUAGUUGGUGAGGUAACGGCCCACCAAGGCGACGAUCGGUAGCCGGACUGAGAGGUUGAACGGCCACAUUGGGACUGAGACACGGCCCAGACUCCUACGGGAGGCAGCAGUGGGGAAUAUUGCACAAUGGGGGAAACCCUGAUGCAGCGACGCCGCGUGGAGGAAGAAGGUCUUCGGAUUGUAAACUCCUGUUGUUGAGGAAGAUAAUGACGGUACUCAACAAGGAAGUGACGGCUAACUACGUGCCAGCAGCCGCGGUAAAACGUAGGUCACAAGCGUUGUCCGGAAUUACUGGGUGUAAAGGGAGCGCAGGCGGGAGAACAAGUUGGAAGUGAAAUCCAUGGGCUCAACCCAUGAACUGCUUUCAAAACUGUUUUUCUUGAGUAGUGCAGAGGUAGGCGGAAUUCCCGGUGUAGCGGUGGAAUGCGUAGAUAUCGGGAGGAACACCAGUGGCGAAGGCGGCCUACUGGGCACCAACUGACGCUGAGGCUCGA
rnacentral:rRNA from 1 species